rnacentral:rRNA from 1 species
UACGGGGGGGGCAAGCGUUGUUCGGAAUUACUGGGCGUAAAGGGCUCGUAGGCGGCCAACUAAGUCGGAUGUGAAAUCCCCAGGCUUAACCUGGGAACUGCAUCCGAUACUGGAUGGCUUGAAUCCGGGAGAGGGAUGCGGAAUUCCAGGUGUAGCGGUGAAAUGCGUAGAUAUGCGGAGGAACACCGAUGGCGAAGGCAAUCCCCUGGGCCUGUACUGACGCUCAUGCACGAAAGCGUGGGGAGCAAACAGG